rnacentral:lncRNA from 1 species
CUGAGUCCUAGGCAAGGGAACAAUUGUAAGAUGUCCAGUCCUUCAGUCCUCAUGGAAGAGGCUCCGGGGAGUCCAGGAAGCCACGUGCAGGUUCCAUCCAGCCCUGCCCUGUGGGGUGGAGAGUCCUCGUGGGCCCUGCAGGCUGGGUGGGCCUACAGACUGCAAGACAGUGCCUGGCCUGUACUUGCAGGACGUCCAUGCAGAAGCGGAAACCAGAGCAGCAAAGGAGAUCCAUCCAUGGGCUAGAAAACCUCCUGUGGAUGUGUCCCUUCAGUGUUUGUAAAGCUGCAGUCUCCCUGCUUUAGAGUGUCUGCCUUCUAGGGGCUGCUGGAGACAUCCAUUGGAGGCCAUGGCGGUCGUUGGUUUACUCCCUCACUCCUUCAUCUGGUACCACAUGCCUGCUGUGGUCUCCACCCUCUCAGAGGCUCAGAAACAUAGGGAAGGCCCAUGGUACCUGGGACACUCAGCUGUUGCCAGCCCGGAGUGGGAAGGAAGAGGUGCAGCCUACCACAGGAGGAUGGAGGAUGCCACCCUACAGAUGGGAAAUGAAGAAUGUAGACCCUUCCUGCCUGGAGGACGCUGGCGCUCCACCUGCCGCACUCCGCUGGUGAUGCCACGUGGGCCCCACUGGCUCUCCUGACCCCAAGCCAAAACCACGCCUGAGCGGGUCCACAGGAGGCUGUGCAGCGCCCGGGAGCUUCUCUGCAGGUCGGGCAGAUCCACCUCGGGCCAGGCCUCUGGGUUUCAACACUGCCCCUCACCUCUCCGAGGGGGGCCUGGGAAACCCCUUGCUGGUGGGAGAAUGGAUGACUGAGGAACAGUCACCCCAACUUCAGGGGUUGAAUACUGUCCCUGCAAAACUCACAUACACUCAGAACCUCAGAAUCCGGCUGUUUGGGAAGAGGGUCUUUGCAGAUGAAACAAGGGCUUGAGAUGAAGUCAUGUUGAUUGGGGUGACCCUAAGCCCAGGGAGAGUGUCCGUAUGGGACAGAAAGGGACACGUAGAGAUGGUUCCGUGGCGACAGAGGCAGAGGCUAGAGAGAGCCACAAACCAGGGAUUACCAGAGCCACCGAAGCUGGAGACACCUGGGACAGAUUCUCCCUCCGACCCUCCAGAGGGAACCUGCCCUGCCCUCACCUUGAUCUCAGCCUUCUGGCUCCCAGGGCUGUGGGAGAAUAACUUCCUGCUGCUGUGAGUCACCAACUUUGCAGCAGUUGUUUACGGCAGCCUCAGGAAGCGAACAUAGGAGUCGUGGGACCUGCAGCUCCCUGGAGGUCCUAAAUAGUCACAUAAUUAGCUAAUGAAGGUCCCUAGUGCUGGGGAGAGAAGGUCUGGUGUAAGUCUAAGGAGUGACCCCAUCGACAGGGUGGCCCUUGGUGCGUGUAGAGAAGCCCCUUGGGUGGCCGUCCUUGGCCACGAAGGAGCCGCGUCAUCCUGGCUGGUCAGCCGUCCUGAGUUGAGUAGGGACUCCAGGUUCUCAAGGUAAACUUUAUCACAAGAAUUCAACCUUGAAAUAGCCACGCGCCAGUGUGAGUUUCUCCUGGAGGCAGAACCUCUAGGUGGGGGCUGUACCCACAUUUAAGGGAAAGAAGCAACAGCCCCUGUGUGUGUGACUCACACGGACCCAGGUUCUGAGACAGCUUGUAGGGGCUUGAGAGAAGGAGUGUGGUCUCCAAGGCAUGUGGGGCCCUGGUACCAGGGUCAGUGCUGUCCACACUACCCUCCUGGGCCACCCCGGGCUUCACUUGCCCUCACGCCACCCUCUCAUCCAGUGCUCAUGGCAGCUGCUGCGACUGUCAGGAAACACAGACCUGAUCCUGUCGCCUCUUUUGCGUAAACCUUUCAGAGGGUAGGACGCAGGCAAGGAUCCUCUCUGGGGCCUGCAGGCCCAUCCUCUCCUGGCUCCAUCCCACCCUCUCUAACCACUCACGCCCUGCUCAGGGCGCAGGGCUGGGCUGUUUCCUGCUUCUGAAGCCUCUCUGUGCCUUGGUCUCCUCCAUGAAGGUGCAUUGAGCUGACCAGGUAAGAGCUGGGUGCAGCAGGUCCCCUGUGGUGCGCUGCAGGACUGUCCCUGGUCAUCUGCUGCCCCUCCUGCCCAACGCCAUCUAAAUGGCAGUGUCGCUAUGGGAGGGGUGUCCACUUGCGGCUUGCGGGUGUGACCGAUGGGAUGUGGACAGAAGUGAUCCGGUCUUGCCUCAGCAGGCCUUUUCCCUCUGCCCGUAGGGUCCUGUCUCUGCAGGGAACUGAGAAUGGGGGAUCUUUAAUUAGCAUUCUCUUCUCCAGCCAAGCCAGCCUUCCUUCCUGGGGGGACCCUGUCCUCCCUCUGUUGGGCCAUCAGCCUGCGGGAGGCUCCAUGUGGCUGGGCCCUGCAUGGAGGUGCCCCGAUCCUCUGGGCUCCGGGGUGGGUGGCGUCCUCUCUCAGUGCUCUCCCUCUGCCUCUGGAACAAGAGCAAGUGCCAGGGUCAGGGUGCCGCGUGGGCAGCUCCCCGUGCAGCGAGUCCUGGCCCGUGUCUGUGGGGAGUUCGGGACAGGGGAGGGGUCAGCCUUGUGCAGUGUGCUAUGAAGUUUGGGAUUUUCGAGGGUAGCUGUCAGGCUUCUGUUCACAUUGCUGACCCCCCACAGUGGUCCCCUAAAUGAUUCAUCAUUUAAAAUGUCCACCUUAAUUCUGCUUGCUGGGAGCUCACAUGAACUGGUCCUCUGUUUUCACACUGGAUUUGUUGGACUUUCACUGGACCAAUGCUAUUAGGGGCCUUUUGUUUGCAAGGGACAGACACCCAGCUCAAACCAGCAUAAGCCAGAAGGCAGCUGUGAUGGUUUCUCAUACCUUCUGGGGAAACUCCGUCUUCAGGCAUGGCUGGAUCCAGUUGCUCAGAUUCUGUUGCCAGGAGCCCAUGCCCCUCCAUGGUUUUGCUCUGCCUUUUCGGUGUCAGCUCUGCUCUCAGACAGGCUCUCC